rnacentral:rRNA from 1 species
CUACGGGGGGUGCAAGCGUUGUUCGGAUUUAUUGGGCGUAAAGCGCGUGUAGGCGGUUUUAUAAGUCUGAUGUGAAAGCCCUGGGCUCAACCCGGGAAGUGCAUUGGAUACUGUAAGACUUGAAUACGGGAGAGGGCAGUGGAAUUCCUAGUGUAGGAGUGAAAUCCGUAGAUAUUAGGAGGAACACCGGGGGCGAACGCGGCUGCCUGGACCGAUAUUGACGCGGAGACGCGAAAGCGUGGGUAGCAAACAGGAUUAGAUACCCUGGUAGUCCACGCCGUAAACGAUGAGAACUAGGUGUUGCGGGUAUUGACCCCUGCAGCGCCGUAGCUAACGCAUUAAGUUCUCCGCCUGGGAAGUACGGUCGCAAGACUAAAACUCAAAUGAAUUGACGGGG